GCUGGAUCCUUGAAUCGCGGAUGCUGGUAUUAAUCCGGAAGGUGAGAUGGGAUAAUGAUGGAACAGGGGAAGUGGAACGGCUGGGAGAUACUUCGGAAGGAGAAGACGUGGCUUUGUUCGUGGACGAGAGCGGAAUGAUCUUGGAUGAAGCUCACGGCUAGGGGAGACUUGAUCCUUUGAUGCGGAUGCUGAGGUUUGCUGGAAGUUGAUCUUGCGAUUGGAUAUUAUGCAUUUGGUUGGGAUCACGUGUGGAAGUUUGGGAUGUUGGGAAGGAAAUGGAAUGAAGAAAAGAGAUCACGGAAUGCUUGAUUCAUGGAGAGGAUGAAUCUGUUCCGAUGGGAAGAACGCGGAGAAGACCUCAGCUGG
rnacentral:lncRNA from 1 species